rnacentral:rRNA from 1 species
AUUGAACGCUGGCGGCAGGCCUAACACAUGCAAGUCGAGCGGAGCGGCGGACGGGAGUGUAAUACCUAGGAAUCUGCCUGGUAGUGGGGGAAACCGUUCGGAAACGGACGCUAAUACCGCAUACUAUCAGAUGAGCCUCGGUCGGGUUAGGUUGUUGGUGGGGUAAUGGCACAUCAGGGCUACGAUCCGUAACUGGUCUGAGAGGAUGAUCAGUCACACUGGAACUGAGACACGGUCCAGAGUCCUACGAGAGGCAGCAGUGGGGAAUAGUGGACAAUGGGGGAGAGCCUGAUCCAGCCAUGCCGCGUGUGUGAAGAAGGUCUUCGGAUUGUGAUGCAGUGUAAGUUGGGGGGCGUUACCGACAGAAUAAGCACCGGCUAACUAUGUGCCAGCAGCCGCGGUAAUAC